GAUGAAGAACGUAGCGAAAUGCGAUACGUAAUGUGAAUCGCAGAAUUCAGUGAAUCAUCGAGUCUUUGAACGCACAUUGCGCCCCCUGGUAUUCCGGGGGGCAUGCCUGUCCGAGCGUCAUUGCUGCCCUCAAGCACGGCUUGUGUGUUGGGCCUCCGCCCCCCGGCUCCCGGGGGGCGGGCCCGAAAGGCAGCGGCGGCACCGCGUCCGGUCCUCGAGCGUAUGGGGCUUCGUCACCCGCUCCGUAGGCCCGGCCGGCGCCCGCCGGCGACCCCCCUCAAUCUUUCCAGGUUGACCUCGGAUCAGGUAGGGAUACCCGCUGAACUUAAGCAUAUCAAAAGCGGAGGA
rnacentral:misc_RNA from 1 species